UACGUAGGUGGCAAGCGUUGUCCGGAUUUACUGGGCGUAAAGAGCGCGCAGGCGGUCGGAUAAGUCGAAUGUGAAAGCCCCCGGCUCAACUGGGGAGGGUCAUUCGAUACUGUUCGACUCGAAGGCAGGAGAGGGAAGUGGAAUUCCCGGUGUAGUGGUGAAAUGCGUAGAGAUCGGGAGGAAUACCUAUGGCGAAAGCAGGCUUCUGGGCCGUCACUGACGCUGAUCUGCGAAAGCUAGGGGAGCAAACAGG
rnacentral:rRNA from 1 species